rnacentral:lncRNA from 1 species
AAGAAACUCAUAUUUCUGACUGGUGCCUUCCCCUUUUUUAGAAGCAGUGAAAGCUUCUAUUAGUUAUGGUUUUCUACUCUGAAAAAUAUCAAAGGAGAAGAUAGAAGAUAGCUGAUGCUUUUGUUUCCAAGUGACUCCAAACUGAAACUUUGUGGAACUGAAAUUCUUUAAUGUUCCUUCCUUUUACUCAUGCCAAAAAUACCA